rnacentral:lncRNA from 1 species
AGCAGAGGUAGCAGCUCCAGAGGGUGCGGGGGGCCAUGGCGGGGCGCUCCACAGUGGCCCUCAGAGACUCAUCCCGCCCAGCCACUGGCGCCUCUGCCGGCCCCGGGGAUGCUGCUGCUCCACAGGACAGCCCGAGCCCGGCCCGUCCGUCCCAGUUUCCUUCUGAUAGCCCCCGGCCACACGUCUUCUCCUUGGCUGCCUGGCCUGACCCCUCUCCCCUCCUCUUUCCUCCUCAGCUCCUGUCCGUCCCCUCUCGGUUCCUUCCGCUCUCCUCUUCACUUCUGAGGGGGUUUGUUCUCUGUGCCCCCUCUGGCCUCCCGCGCCUGGUCCCUGCCCCUCUCAGGAGCUGCGUCUCAGAAGUUGCCUCCUGGGCGUCCGCCCCCUCGUCCCAGCUGGCCCUCUUCUGGUCUCCCUGUCCUCUUUCCCUGAUGACCGGAUCCUGGGGGUGACAGGGCUUUGCCCCUGUGGCUGUUCGGAG